GUACAACCGCGUACUUUUUGUAGAACGGUCCGGCGAGUUGCCGGUGCUGGCGAGGUUAAGGACUAAAGGUCCGGAGCCGAAGGGAAACCGAGUCUUAAUAGGGCGUAAAGUCAGCAGCGGCAGACCCGAAACCGGGUGAUCUAUCCAUGUCCAGGUUGAAGUUCCCGUAAAAGGGAAUGGAGGACCGAACGCACAUCCGUUGAAAAGGGUGGCGAUGAGGUGUGGAUAGGGGAGAAAUUCCAAUCGAACCCGGAGAUAGCUGGUUCUCCUCGAAAUAGCUUUAGGGCUAGCCUCGAUUUAGUCAGACGGAGGUAGAGCACUGAAUUCCUGAGGGGGCGUCAAAGUCUGCCAAGGGAUAUCAAACUGCGAAUGCCGUGCUGAUGGUGAUCGGGAGUCAGACUGUACGAGAUAAGUUGGACAGUCAAAAGGGAAAGAGCCCAGACCUGCAGCUAAGGUCCCAAAAUACGUGUUAAGUGGAAAAGGAUGUGGGAUUUCGAAGACAACUAGGAUGUUGGCUCAGAAGCAGCCACACAUUCAAAGAGUGCGUAAUAGCUCACUAGUCGAGAGGUCCUGCGCCGAAAAUUUCCGGGGCUGAAACACGAUACCGAAGCUCAGGAGUGUGUAAAAGCACACUGGUAGAGGAGCAAUCUCAACGCGCAGAAGCAGUACCGAUAAGGAGCUGUGGAGUGUUGAGAAGAGAGAAUGCCGGAAUGAGUAGCGAGAAUGAUGUGAGAAUCAUCAUGGCCGAAUAUCCAAGGAUUCCAGGGUAAAGCUGAUCUGCCCUGGGUAAGUCGGGACCUAAGGCAAGGACGAGAGUCGUAGUCGAUGGACAGCUGGUUCAGAUUCCAGCACCUGACAUGAUCAGAACUGUGGGGACACAGAGACGUAACCGGACCCGGGAGAGCAAAGACCGGGCCAAGCGAAGUAGGUGUGCGGAAGGCAAAUCCGCCGCACAAGCCGAAGGCGUUAAGGGGAGCGAAAUCAAGUAGCGAAGCCGGUGACCGUAACUGUCAAGAAAAGCCGCUAUUGUAUCAUGUCAGCCCGUACCGCAAACCGACACAGGUGGAUGAGGAGAGAAUCCUAAGGCCGGCGGGAGAAGCAUUGUUAAGGAACUCGGCAAAAUGACCCCGUAACUUCGGGAGAAGGGGUGCUGCAGAGAUGCAGCCGCAGAGAAAAGGCUCAAGCAACUGUUUAGCAAAAACACAGGUCUAUGCGAAACCGUAAGGUGAAGUAUAUGGGCUGACGCCUGCCCGGUGCUGGAAGGUUAAGAGGAGAGGUCAGCGGGGAAACCCGCGAAGCUUUGAAUUUAAGCCCCAGUAAACGGCGGCCGUAACUAUAACGGUCCUAAGGUAGCGAAAUUCCUUGUCGGGUAAGUUCCGACCCGCACGAAAGGCGUAAUGAUUUGAGCGCUGUCUCAACAAUGCACCCGGUGAAAUUGAAGUACCAGUGAAGAUGCUGGUGACCUGCGCCAGGACGGAAAGACCCCAUGGAGCUUUACUCUAGUUUGAUACCGGGAUCCGGUGUUACUCGUACAGGAUAGGUGGGAGGCUACGAAGUAUGGACGCCAGUCUAUACGGAGCCGCUGUUGGGAUACCACCCCUGUGGCACUGGGUUUCUAACCUGCGUCCAUUAUCUGGACGGGGGACAAUGUCAGAUGGGGAGUUUGACUGGGGCGGUCGCCUCCGAAAGAGUAUCGGAGGCGCUCAAAGGUUCCCUCAGAAUGGUUGGAAACCAUUCGCAGAGCGCAAAGGCAGAAGGGAGCUUGACUGCGACACCGACGGGUGGAGCAGGUACGAAAGUAGGACUUAGUGAUCCGGUGGUAUAAAGUGGGAUUGCCAUCGCUCAACGGAUAAAAGCUACCCUGGGGAUAACAGGCUUAUCACUCCCAAGAGUUCACAUCGACGGAGUGGUUUGGCACCUCGAUGUCGGCUCAUCACAUCCUGGGGCUGAAGUCGGUCCCAAGGGUUGGGCUGUUCGCCCAUUAAAGUGGUACGCGAGCUGGGUUCAGAACGUCGUGAGACAGUUCGGUCCCUAUCCGGCGCGGGCGUAAGAUAUCUGAGAGGAGCUGUCCUUAGUACGAGAGGACCGGGAUGGACUGACCACUGGUGUACCGGUUGGGGAGCAACCCCACGGCCGGGUAGCCAAGUCGGGCCGGGAUAAACGCUGAAGGCAUCUAAGCGUGAAGCCCCCCUCAAGAUGGGAUAUCUCAUGCGAGAGUAGUAAGACCCCUUUAAGACUAAGAGGUAGAUAGGGCAGAGGUGUAAGCGUAGCGAUACGUUCAGCUGACUGUCACUAAUCGGUCGAGGGUUUAACCAAAA
rnacentral:rRNA from 1 species